rnacentral:lncRNA from 1 species
GCCUCGAUGAUCGGCGCCCAGUUUUAUGACGCGGGACCUCAUUUUAGUGAUUUGGUGAAGUUGCGGGACAAGGCUUUGUUCGUGGAUAAAUCCUUACUGAUUGAGCACAUUUUAAGUGGUCGCGAGCACAUCGUCAUUGAAGCCCCAGAAGGAUUCGGAAAAACGAUGAACCUCCGCAUGCUCAAGGAAUUCCUUGAAGUGGAGGUCGACAUUGAUGGCAAGGCAGUUGAAGAUGUGAACAGUACGAAAAACUUCGCCACCUUUGCGACACCACCGUUAGAAAUAAUAACAAAUAUCCUCAAAUUUUCAGAGAUUAUUUCGCUCAAUCUCCAGUCAUUUAUGUGGACAUGGGCUCUGUUUCCAUUACCCAUUUUGACGAGUCGUUUCGUCGUAUGGUUACUGACUUAUUUGUGAGACACGAUUACUUGGAGCGGAGUCCAAGACUUUCAGCAGCGUUGAAGGACGACUUUGAGCUGUACCGAGACAAAUGUCCAGAAUUCAGCCUGAGCGAGGUGGUGCUUGGAGGCGAAAAACUGUCGGUGCUCUUGCGGGAGCACCACCAGAAGAACAUCAUCGUCCUCAUCGACAACUAUGAUGCUCCUUUGCGCGAGGCCCUUUUAGCUCAGGCGUCCGCCCUCGACAUGAAGAACUUUGAUCACGUCUACGAGAACGUCAUGCUCUUUAUCGCCCGGCUUGUCCAGGGUAACUCCAACGUUGCCAGGUCCGUAUUGACGGGGAGGAUGCGGGUAAUUGCCAGUCACAAGGGAGAACCAGAUAAUCUCGUUCAUCUAUCCAUCUUCGACCAUGAGCAACUAUGGAGGUAUUACGGCUUAACCAAGAAGGACAUGCAUACACUGGGAGACCAAUUAUUCCGCGAGACCAAAUGGGAACUGAACUACACAGACGUGAAUGCUUGGUACGGCGGCUACAAAACCAUCCUCCCGGAACAAAAACUCUAUAACACAUUCUCGACGACGAUGUAUCUCAAAACUCACCAGUUAAAGCGACAUCGAAUCCACGCGGAAGAGCUACGGAGUAACCUUUCAAACAUCCUCCCCUACGAAAGACUCGGUAAAACCCUAGAGGAGGCUUUCGACGAACAAACCAGAAUCUCUCCCGUCAAAAUGGUUCAGCGUGAUCUGAAAGAACUUCGGGCAAUGAUCUCUGACCCGAACCACAAGCUCAACCGGGAUCUCGCGCUCCAAUAUCUAGUUGAAAUCGGGUUGUUCUCGCUUGAUGGCGACCGGUUAACCGUCCCGAACCUGGAGGCUGAUGCGGACCUCAAGGCACUCUUGCUGACAUGUGAUUAUUUCAAAUCGAAGUUUCGGAUCCAGGACCUGCAAGUUAACGACUAUAUCGAGACUUUAGACAGGCUGGGAAGUCGGGGACAGACGUACGAGGAUCUAGCCGGCGCGGUUUUGGCGCUUUUUGAAUUCCAACUGCCUGCAAGUUCCCGAGAACUCUUGCACGCAUUGGUCUAUCUCGCAGCCGACACGAAGUUCCCGCAGGUCUUCAGUGAGGAGGCCAUCGAUAGAAAGAGGCGGGAUUUCUUCGUGCAGAGGUACGAUUCAACAGGAAUUUUGAUAGGCGUCGAGCGCGGAAAUGGGACGGCUUAUGAUGCGCUUAAGCAGCUUGUGGACUGCAAGAGGUAUGAAAUAUUCCGGCAGAGGAAGCUGAGCACUGGCAUCCUGGUCGGGUUGGCUAUCAACGAACGCCCGGAGUGCACACUGGCCUACUUGCACGAUAAUGGCACCUACUCCUAUAGUUUGGCUGGGCACAGGAAUGCCGUUUGGGCACGUCUUAGAACUACAACAGCAGACAUGAAGACAUCAAAAACAUAAUUAUAGUUCGACUGAAAAGAUCUAAACUAGAUCGGGGCUUCAUUGCACUAGUGUAAAAUAAAAUGAAUAAAUAAAUAAAUAAAUAAAUAAAUCACACCGUGAAGGGAUGCAAGAGAGAAGAUCCUAGAAAAUGACGAAACCACCACCAUCAUGCUCAUUCACAUGCUUCAUGUGAUGCUCAUUUGGACAACUUUUUGCUAUGGACAGCCACUGGUUUUUGCUCAUUUUGGAAACAGCAUAUCGACGGUGUAAGUCGGCAAUCACAUAACUCGUUUGUGGUGUCUAAAAAUCUCCGCCUCUAUGUUAUUUUUUAAGAGAGAACAAAUAGACAUCAUUUCUUGAAGUUUAUGCAGAAUUUUCUUCGCACAGAGAAGAAAAAUCACGGAAGUUUUAAAGAAUUGCCGUUGAGUAGUUUUCCGAUUAAAAAUAACGUAUAUGACAGGAAGUCUGCGACGUCGCAAACCGAGUUAUGUGAUUGCCGACUUACACCGUCAAUAUGUGCCACUAGUUUCACUAUGCAAAAAGGUGUUUUUAUGCAUGAGGCAGGAAAAGUGGUUCCCUAUUGUGCAAUUGCGUCUAUUUUUCAGGGCUAGUUUUACUUCGAGUAGGUACCAUCACAAACAGUUCUGAUUGUGGGCCUCAAGGGACAUUCUCCCGAAUGAGUCGGUUUUCUAGGAUUGCUCGAAGCUGUUAUUUUUGAAAAAAGAAUCGUAUGACAUACUUUAACACUGAAACAUAAGGUAAAGAUGCACCCACUAAAUUAGAAUAUGGUGAGCCGGAAGGGGAGCUAAGACUAAAUCUGCUGAAACGAGGAUCAAGAUGCAUCGGUGAAAACCACUUAAGGCCCAAGUAAAUAAGAAAACCACCUCUGAGUGUUUAUCGCUCUUAUAGAUAGGAAAAUCUGUUUCGCUAAAUUCAAUAUGUGUUCUAUGAGUCGCAUCAAUGAUGAGCGAAAAAGCUCACUCAUCUCAAAAUUUAAAAAAUUUUCUUGUUUUAAUGCAAAAAAGUCCAUCUACGAAACAGUUUUAUGUCACGUAUUUCGGAUUGCGACGCAAUGGCGCAGUUCUUGACUUCAAUGACUUCUGCAGUCCAUCUUCCAGAAUUAGAAUGCAAUUGAAACCAUCCGCAUUGAAUAAUCCGCAAAUUUCCCAGGAAAUUUGUAUUUUAUCAAAAGAAGUUUGGCGACUUUUAAAUUUUUACGCUAUGUUUUUUCUUAGCAGAAUUGCCGUGCUAAAGAAGAACGACUAUGAUCACCCGAGGCCGAGUGCUGCCAAACUUCCCCUGAUAAAACACGAAUUUUCUGGAAAACAUGUAAAUUUUUUCCAUGCAUUUUUCAGAGCUUUCAACUUGUAUUUAUUUACAGCGCUCUUGAAACUUUGAAAAAAAUCCUCGUUACUUUUCUGAAAAAUUGAUUUUAUCAAAUGCUUAAAUUAUUUUAGUAGCAAACGUUGGUACCAUUUAUUGACAGCAACAUCUGUAGGCUAUGAAACACAUGGGUUUUAUUUUUGUGAAUAUUAUAAAAAUGACUUUUCAGUAUUAUAAACAUUUGACACGUUAAAAAACCGUAGUUUAUAUUUUAUUUAUAAGGAAAUUCGGCAGAGUCUGAAUGUCGAUGCGCCGUUUUUCCUCAGCAUCGUAGGAUACGAACCAGUAACGACAAUUUGAGCGUCUCGCUCCUCGAGGCGCGAAGCAAAGACAUUGACUCCUGUAGCGAAGAGCAAAAAUGAAGCAAGACACGUGAAAAAAGACCUAAGUCCAAAACUCAAGAGCCCAGCCAUACAUUACCGGUAGCAAAACCCAGGGCUCAUCGAAUUCCGGACUCCCGUAUGUCGCGAUUCAAAUGGGUUACGCUGCCAUGACUGUCAACAACAACGUAUCCAUAUUGUGUUAUCAUGACAGUUAAGCGGUUGUUGCUCAGUACAGCGGCGUGACGCCGAGCAGAGCACCCAGCCUCUAAGUAUUACCCAGCGCCUAUAUUAUACCACGUAUCCCCAUUUCCAUAUAAAUGAAUUUCAUGUAUUUAUUAUAAACCCCCCCUUCCCUCCCCCCGAGUACAGUUUACUCUACCUCCCCCCGCCCCGUUCUGCACCCAGCCUCUCUGGUGCAUCCCUCCCACGCUAUGCGGGAUUUUCCCGAAGCUCCUAUUCGCGAUAGUGCCGCGAUAUACUGCCGCGCUCCGCUCAGGAAAAACGCCGUAUGAGCUGUUGCAUACUGCCCGAUUUUCGGAAAUCUUUCAUUUUUUAGGAUUGUUUUUAAUCAGGAGAGGUCAUCGCACGCAUGUACAAUCUGGAAAUUUCCGUACGAUCAAGAAUAAAUUGCGGUAAACACUUUUUGAAAAAUUCGAGGGGAAAGAUGUAUAUGUAUUAUUCAAGAAAAUUUGCAUUUCCCAAAAAUCCCCUAACGCCUCUUCCAAACAUCGGGAAAAAAUGUUCGAGGUACUUCAACGUGAAAGCAACACAACUUCAUUUUGCGUUGCCUAUUUUCUUAACAAGUUUUCUUUUUCUUUGCAAGAAAACUAAGUGACGAUCUGCCUUGAAAAGUAAGCUCAAAUUUUAGCGGCUCUGGUGCUUGCACUAGAGCUGCUAUUCCGGACGGUCCCAGCUGGGGAGUAUCAAUGCAGCAUGUUACAUUGUAGAGACCGCGCGUUGGUUGAUGGGAAUCGGCGCCAUUUUCGGCUAUGUUCCUUGUCAUGACUUUAUUUUAUUGCAUACUGUUUUAUUGUUAGUCAAUGCUAUGUUGUGUAUUGUAUUUUUGUAAUCAUGGUAGUACAGUCAACAAUUCAAAACUUGUCUGUGCUUUUAUCUCGUGAUGGAAAAAAUGUACUUUACGUUCAAAAUUUGAAAAUUUGAAUUUUAAAGUUUUCGCGGUUAAGGAAGCUUUAACCACUGGGUUGGAGCUUCCUAGUCAUAUUACUCGAUAUCAGCUGAUAGCAAACAAAGGUUACCAAGGAAACCGUAAACGUCUAACAACUAUCGUGGCCAUCGGGGCGAUUAUUGAAAUGAUAUCGACUGUAUGUCGCCGCUUACGACAGGACAUAGCCCUAUCUUAACUGUGUAAUAUAUCGCAAUUCGAUAUUGCUUCGAUAUUACUGCCCCCAGAGCCGCUCUCCGACGCCAAUGCGUUGGAGCUUCCUGCUUGUUUUCAUAACCGGGGAGAAUUCACGGGCAGACUCAAGGUGUUAUCUUCCUAAGAUUUUCCGGGUAGAGAGAAAUAAAAAUGAAACAUCAGAGGAAAACUAAGGAGCAUAGUUAAGUUAAUUCUGAGGUUGAUCCGACUAUUUCAGUGUUUUUGUUUUCUUUCAUUUAUUUUACUUUAAAAAUGCUCAAAUACCUACAUACCCGAAAACCCAGCAAAAAUUAUUUUUCCGAAAUCUUUUUACUAUUUUCACCCCCGCGCACACCCUCUCAUGAAAGUAACCUCUGAGUGCCCUACGGAAAAUCGCCCAUAAAACGUCCCUGCUCCCAAUCAUCAUGGGGAAGAAAUCAUUUUCUGGUCUACACCAGCGGGGCGAUUAUUGAAAUGUCAUCGACUCUAUGUCGCCGCUUACGACAAGACAUAGCCCUAUCUUAACCGUGC